GGCGGGGUAGCUCAGUUGGUUAGAGCACGGGAAUCAUAAUCCCGGUGUCGGCGGUUCGAACCCGCCCCUCGCUACCA
rnacentral:tRNA from 1 species